rnacentral:lncRNA from 10 species
GUUCUGUCUCUGUGCGGUGUGCUGGGGAAUGCAUGGGGUUUAAAGUCAGGUAGAUUUGGGCCUGCCACUUUACAUCUGUAGCUGAUGUUUAAAGGAGAUGAUAAAAAUGCUGCAACCCAGAUAAUGAUCACCUUACUCUUCAAAAAUACUGCCCAAGUUCUUUGUUCAAGAUGCCAAGAACCUGGAUACCCUCCACUGGUAACAAAUAUGACUUUGUUUUUAGCAAGCAACUUUGCAGUGUAAUUAAGUUAAGGAUCUUGAGAUGAGAUCAUCUUGGAAUAUCUGGGUGGGCCCUAAAUCCAAUGACAAGUGUCCUCAUAGGAAGGGAAGAUACACACAGAGGAGAAGGUGGUGUGAAGAUGGAAGCCAAGACUGUUGAUACCAGUUGGAGAGCACCAAGAACUACCCGCAGCCACUGAAAGCUAGGAGAGAGGCAUAGGACUGUCUCCUUCAGACCCUCCAGAAAGACCAAACCUGCCCGUGCCUUGAUUUCAGACUUUUGGCCUCCCACAUUGUGAGAGAAUAAAAUUUUGUUUUUGAAGCCAU